AGUGAACGCUGGCGGUAGGCCUAACACAUGCAAGUCGAACGGCAGCACAGUAAGAGCUUGCUCUUACGGGUGGCGAGUGGCGGACGGGUGAGGAAUACAUCGGAAUCUACUUUUUCGUGGGGGAUAACGUAGGGAAACUUACGCUAAUACCGCAUACGACCUACGGGUGAAAGCAGGGGAUCUUCGGACCUUGCGCGAUUGAAUGAGCCGAUGUCGGAUUAGCUAGUUGGCGGGGUAAAGGCCCACCAAGGCGACGAUCCGUAGCUGGUCUGAGAGGAUGAUCAGCCACAUUGGAACUGAGCCACGGUCCAGACUCCUACGGGAGGCAGCAGUGGGGAAUAUUAGACAAUGGGGGCAAGCCUGAUACAGCGAUACCGCGUGGGUGAAGAAGGCCCUCGGGUUGUAAAGCCCUUUUGUUGGGAAAGAAAAGCAGCAGGUUAAUACCCCGCUGUUCUGACGGUACCCAAAGAAUAAGCACCGGCUAACUUCGUG
rnacentral:rRNA from 1 species